GACGAACGCUGGCGGCGUGCUUAACACAUGCAAGUCGAGCGGUAAGGCCCUUUCGGGGGUACACGAGCGGCGAACGGGUGAGUAACACGUGGGUGACCUGCCCUCAGCUCUGGGAUAAGCCUGGGAAACCGGGUCUAAUACUGGAUAUGACUCCAUGACGCAUGUUGUGGGGUGGAAAGCCUUGUGCGGCUGAGGAUGGGCCCGCGGCCUAUCAGCUUGUUGGUGGGGUGAUGGCCUACCAAGGCGACGACGGGUAGCCGGCCUGAGAGGGCGACCGGCCACACUGGGACUGAGGCACGGCCCAGACUCCUACGGGAGGCAGCAGGUGGGGAAUCUUGCGCAAUGGGCGAAAGCCUGACGCAGCGACGCCGCGUGAGGGAUGACGGCCU
rnacentral:rRNA from 1 species